rnacentral:snRNA from 1 species
GUGUGCACUUUGGCAGCACAUACACUAAAACUGAAACAAUACCGAGAUUAACAUGGCCCCUGCACAAGGAUGACACAAAUUCGUGAACCAUGCCAUACUUUA